CUACGGGAGGCAGCAGUAGGGAAUCUUCCACAAUGGACGCAAGUCUGAUGGAGCAACGCCGCGUGAGUGAAGAAGGUUUUCGGAUCGUAAAGCUCUGUUGUUGGUGAAGAAGGACGGAGAGAGCAACUGGUCUUCGUUUGACGGUAAUCAACCAGAAAGUCACGGCGAAACUACGUGCCAGCAGCCGGCCGGGUUA
rnacentral:rRNA from 1 species